rnacentral:rRNA from 1 species
AUUGAACGCUGGCGGCAGGCCUAACACAUGCAAGUCGAGCGGAUGAGGGAAGCUUGCUUCCUGAUUUAGCGGCGGACGGGUGAGUAAUGCCUAGGAAUCUGCCUAUUAGUGGGGGAUAACGUUUCGAAAGGAACGCUAAUACCGCAUACGUCCUACGGGAGAAGGUGGGGGAUCUUCGGACCUCACGCUAAUAGAUGAGCCUAGGUCGGAUUAGCUAGUUGGUGGGGUAACGGCUCACCAAGGCGACGAUCCGUAGCUGGUCUGAGAGGAUGAUCAGCCACACUGAAACUGAGACACGGUCCAGACUCCUACGGGAGGCAGCAGUGGGGAAUAUUGGACAAUGGGCGAAAGCCUGAUCCAGCCAUGCCGCGUGUGUGAAGAAGGUCUUCGGAUUGUAAAGCACUUUAAGUUGGGAGGAAGAGUUGUAAGCUAAUAUCUUGCAGCUUUGACGUUACCAACAGAAUAAGCACCGGCUAACUCUGUGCCAGCCGCCGCCGUAACAC